AUCUCGAGCUCAGAGGGUGCGGGGGUAACACAGACCCUGUCCCCAGGGUCCACUGCGCCGUGAGGCUCACAGCUUGAGCUAGUCUGCACUGUUACAGAGCACCUGUACUUUCUGGGAAGGCCACAAAAUCUCUCUCUCUCUCCUCUUUCUGUUUCAAUAUUUGCACCCUUCCUGACCACUCUAUCCCACGAAGUCUGUAUCUUCCUUUCAAUCUUUGUUCUUUGCUAUCUCCGGUCUCCCUGCCCAUCUGUCUCUGGCUCCUGCACACAUCCUUCUGUCCAGCCCCGGGGUGCUCCCACUCCUUCUUUCCCAUGUUCUCUAGCUGCCCCACAGCCUCUCUCCCCAGCCUGGCUCUGCAGGACCUCUCUUUCCAAGUACCUCCCUAAUUCUCAGAAAGAAACACUUGGCUUCUCUUGCCUCAUGGAUGCACUGUCUCCAGCUCUUUCCCAGCCCUCACAUGCCAUGUCCCCAGCAUGUCCAGGUCAGGAGAACAGACAUAAAAAAGAGGAAGCUGGCUUCCAGUCCUUACGUCAACAGCUCCGGCCUUUGAAUCUGCCGGAAACCUUAAGGAAAGGGGAUUUUUCAAAGACUUCUGCCAGAUUUCCUCCAGGCCAGGGAGAUACCUGCAUGAGUGUGGCCAACAGUCUGACUCACACUGUGUGGCGAACAUGAGUUGUAUCUGGGGAGGAAAAACAGACCUGAGAUGAGUUUCGCCUGACCCUGACACUGGGCAAUCCGAUCUCCUGUCAGGGAAAGUCAAAUUGACUCUGUCUCUCCACAGAAGGAAGUGUUCAGCAGAUAAGCCUGCUAUUAUGCUCUCUGGUAAAACCUCCCUGAUGAGAAAAGGUCUGCGGUUGGGUUUAGUCGGAAGGAUGAGAGAGCCCGUUUCUCUCACAGGAAUUUCCUGUGCAGUUAGCACUCAGUUUCUUAACGCCGGGUGUUUUAAUUUUUUUUCUUCUUCUUCUAAAAUUAACCCCCCAUACAAACCAUAACCUUUAAGAGCAAAGCCAAAGGGUUUUUGGUGACGGACUUUUUAAUUCUGAAAGGAAUCUCCAGCCCCAUUUAUAUGAAGCAAGUUUUUGACACACAGGGGGAGAAGUAGCCUUAAAGGCUAAAUCUUGGGUACUCGUUUCCAGUGAGGUGUUAAGAGAAAUCUUCAGGAUGUGGUGCAUAAUUGAAAUUUUCACUGUAAUUAAAACCAGGCAAUGUGUAGAACGCUUUGAGGCCACACUAGUCAUGAAAGAAUGCUCCCUAGAAAGCAUCCUAAUUAAGUCUUGAUUUCGUUUUCCCUCAAGAGGCCACCGAUAUUCACUUUUUGAUGCUUUCAAAAAAAAAAAAAUUAAACACGAUUCCCCAGCACUCGAGCUCUUCACCUUCAGCCACUUGCACGGUGGCCUCAGCCCGUUCACACCGCUGCUGCGGCCUCAACCAUUUCCUUCUGCUGCUGUUGUCGUGGUUGUGCGAAGGAGCCCUGGCCUUGGGUACUUGUUUCUCUGCCUCACAGGGGCAGCGCUCCGUGAGGCCAGGCUUCGUUUGCCGUGCAGGCUUGUAUUCAGAGGCCGUGCUGUGGGUCUUUCAGCUUUCCUCACUCUUAGUGGGUCCGUCAAUGUUGCUAGGUUUCAAACAAACAGAAGAAAACACACACUCACAUAUAAAAUGAGUCUUGAAUUGAUACUGGAAACCACAAUACCAAUUCAGAGCUGCAGGCUUUGCUUUGUCUUACCAAUUGUACGCUGAUAAUGUCUGUACACAAAAGAAAUCCCAGUCCAGCGACAUCAGCACCUUCCUUAUCUUAGUUUAUCCCACAAUUAGACACAGUAGCCUCAGAGUAAUUAUAAUACAAACACACAAACAAUUUUCUAAAAACAGUUCAAAAAUAUUUUGCAUUGUUUCAUGGGAAUAUACGGUCACGUUGUGGCCUAACAUCCUUUAAAAUUAUUGGUGUGGAUGUCAUUUUGUCCAUAUAGUUAAGUUUAUCUGUUCUAUUUUUACUUUCAGGGACU